rnacentral:piRNA from 1 species
UAAACUACUCAAGAGAUUUCAAUGUGC